GUCAAAGCGACAAUGGGGCUGAGGCAUUGGGGUUAGCGAGCGGUCUCUGAGGGGGUAGCGCAAAGGCUCGGGUGCUGCUCUGGGCUGGAAAGGAGGUCUAACCCAGGGCAGGAAACCCGCUCAUUGGUGAGCGGUCCUAGCUGCUGAGUGCUCGAUGGUUCUGUGAGGAGAUGGGGAUUCAUCACUCGCUUCCCUCGCACCGCUCGGUUACCUCGCAGGCUUGCCAAGAGGCUGCAGUUUUCCAAAGGAGACCGGCUGCCAAGGGAAACUGACUUUGCUGCGAGGCUGCCUUUGAGAGGUCUUGAGCUGUCCCUCACCCGGCGUCUUGCCAGAGGUUUCCACUCCUCAGGCUGUGCGGAAAGUGGCCUUCAUGCUGCUCUUCUGUGACCGAGUAUGCCAAAGCCAUUGGUGAGGGAAAGCUGCCCCCAGACUCCAGGGCAUGAUUUUUGCAAGGUGCUUUGAUUUUUUUUUUUUCAUAUCUCAACUGGAUUAGGCCUUGAGCAACCUGACCUGAAGUUGGUCCGUGAACUGAAGCUUGUACCUGAUAACCUCAGCCUUUUAUAUUCCAAGGUAGAAAGUGAUACUCUACCGGUGUAGAGAGGAGCCUGGAUCCAUUUUCUACACUGUCACCCUUUGUAUGCCAGCAGGCCUUUUCAAGAGGAGAGGUGUAAUACAGGUGCAGAAUACUAGGCUGCAGAUUAGGGAGCUCCUCAGCAUUAAAGAAAAUGACUGCAUGUCCCCUGUGCCAACUAAUAGCUAUUAAAAAAAGCUGUGGAAAACCGCAUACAGCUAAUUUCAAGAGGAAUCUUGGACACCAUCUCUCAGACUGAGGGCUCAAGUGAUAGUCUGUGACAUGCCUGUGCCAUGAGGGAAGAGCUGUAUGAAAGUAAGGGAAUGCUUUUAACACCCUGUCUUGGUUGUGAUCGACGUUUACCCCAGAGCUGUUUGACACAACCAUUCACUGCAUGGGGGAGAGAAUGGAUGAAUGUGACUAUCCAUCCUUCCCCAAAGUACUGAAUAGUAGUACACAGAUUAGAUGAAAGAGAAGCUUACAGUGCCAGAAGAAAAAGGGGAAUACAAUAUUUACAAGAGAGAGGCUUUUUUAGAAGCUGAUUCAGAGUAGAAGCCAUAAUCUAAGUAUUCUUGAUUUUUUCCCCCAGUACACCUUAUUUCCUUCUAUCAACAAUGAAAGCAGUGUAGCAAGUUUGGUCUUUGAAGGCUAAACUUAGCCUUUGUGAAUACUUCCUUUCCUUCCCUUCCCUCACUCCAGUACCCAGUGUGAUUUUCUCAGUUUUCUAGGCCACGGAUGGAUAUGGAGGUUUUUUUUUAUCUGAUGAGUCUGAAUUCUAUGUGAAAAAAAUGGUGAGUUCAACUUGCCACAACAGAUUUCCAUCAUCCUGCCAUGAACAUGCCAGAUGAAAGGUUUGUUUGGGCCUGUGUUGUGAUUUCAGUUAAGGGUAACUGUCAAAAAAAAGACUAUGUUUUUUCCUACUAAUAUUCAGGAAAACUGCCUCUACAAGCAUUAUACCAGAAUUAUUAUGAAACAUAUUUUAAGAUGGGCUUUUUCCCCAUAUACAAAAGACAAUUCUGAAGGAACAGUCUGAUAUUUUUAAGAAACAGGGUGACCAAAUCAGUCACACGUGAGCAGUGAUGAACUCAGCUACAGUGUUAGUAGAUAUGAGGAGAAAGGUUAAAAAACAUCCUGGUAGUUUCAUCUCUGAUGAUAGUCCUAGUGAGGACACUGUGUCCCAAAUUAGUACUCCCAGGUCACAAUACCCUUGAUUUACUAGGCAGUUUUAAGGAAAUAGAAAAAAAUCAUAAUCAGAAGCUACAGAAAUAACCUGGAGAAGCCUCAUGUGAUUCUUUUUUACAAGUUGUGCCUCUAUUUUACCCGGAGAAACAGGCAUUGAAAAUGUCAUUGGCAAAACUGUCUUUGAAGUUGGUGUAUGUUUUACAGGUUGUUUUGUUCAGUGAUACUUGCUGAAAAAGCUGAACCUACUAAGUAUUCCAAGGGAUUAAUGCCAGUAUGGCAUCAGGAGCACAGUAAUGCAUGUGCUCCUGACUGUGCCUGUCUUCUAAAGAGUGAAGGAAGGUAUGUAGAUAAUAGUGCCAUUCUUUCCAGAUGCUGUUGUAAUACUUGUCACAAUAGUUCUUAGAUUUGCUUUGCAGCAUGAUAUAUAUCUACUUAAAAUAAUUUUAGUUAUUAUAUAUUAUCUGUAACUUUUUUAUCCUUUUGAUACUUAAAUGGGCAUGAUAGUAGUACCCAGAGAAAGGACAAUAUUCCUUCAGGUUUGUGAACCAUCUGCAGCUUCAGCUGUCACCCAGACAUUGCCAAGACAACAGAAUGCAGAUACAGUUAUAUUUUGUAUGAUACAUAUAUAGAUUUUUAGAAGUCACUGCUUUUAUGUGGUAACUUUAGAAAAGCCCCAUAUAAAUAGCAUUUAUUAGGUAGCUGUGCACAAUUCACUUGCAUUCAACCCACCGAGGCACUGUUGGUGAACACAAUUUACCGCUUUAAACUCUAUGCAAGCAAAUGAAUGGAGUAAAAAACCUGCUUUGGAAGCAUCCUCACAUUAGGAACUUCCCUUUCCCUUAUACCUGGCUUUGAGACAUGACAGACGUUAUUGGGAUUUGAGGGGUGAGGUUUCAAGACUUGUUUUUUAAUGCCACAAAAAAAAACCCAAAA